AUUAGAGUUUGAUCCUGGCUCAGGACGAACGCUGGCGGCGUGCUUAACACAUGCAAGUCGAACGGAAAGGCCCAGCUUGCUGGGUACUCGAGUGGCGAACGGGUGAGUAACACGUGGGUGAUCUGCCCUGGACUCUGGGAUAAGCCUGGGAAACUGGGUCUAAUACCGGAUAGGACCACUGAUUGCAUGGUUGGUGGUGGAAAGCUUUUGCGGUUCAGGAUGGGCCCGCGGCCUAUCAGCUUGUUGGUGGGGUAAUGGCCUACCAAGGCGACGACGGGUAGCCGACCUGAGAGGGUGAUCGGCCACACUGGGACUGAGACACGGCCCAGACUCCUACGGGAGGCAGCAGUGGGGAAUAUUGCACAAUGGGCGCAAGCCUGAUGCAGCGACGCCGCGUGAGGGAUGACGGCCUUCGGGUUGUAAACCUCUUUCGCUAGGGACGAAGCGUAAGUGACGGUACCUGGAGAAGAAGCACCGGCCAACUACGUGCCAGCAGCCGCGGUAAUACGUAGGGUGCGAGCGUUGUCCGGAAUUACUGGGCGUAAAGAGCUCGUAGGCGGUUUGUCGCGUCGUCUGUGAAAUUCUGCAACUCAAUUGCAGGCGUGCAGGCGAUACGGGCAGACUUGAGUACUACAGGGGAGACUGGAAUUCCUGGUGUAGCGGUGAAAUGCGCAGAUAUCAGGAGGAACACCGGUGGCGAAGGCGGGUCUCUGGGUAGUAACUGACGCUGAGGAGCGAAAGCGUGGGGAGCGAACAGGAUUAGAUACCCUGGUAGUCCACGCCGUAAACGGUGGGUACUAGGUGUGGGGCUCAUUUCACGAGUUCCGUGCCGUAGCUAACGCAUUAAGUACCCCGCCUGGGGAGUACGGCCGCAAGGCUAAAACUCAAGGGAAUUGACGGGGGCCCGCACAAGCGGCGGAGCAUGUGGAUUAUUCGAUGCAACGCGAGAACCUUACCUGGGUUUGACAUACACCAGAAAGCCGUAGAGAUACGGCCCCCUUUGUGAUGGUGUACAGGUGGUGCAUGGCUGUCGUCAGCCUCGUG
rnacentral:rRNA from 1 species